CGCAGGGCCCAGGCUGGCUGUGGGAGUUCUGCCCUCACAGCACAGCUUCCAGCCAGAUGCCCAGCUCUCCCCCGCGGGGCUGAGACCUCACACCGUCAAAGCCAAUCAACGGUGGCUGCUGAACCAGAGCUCUGGCCCUGGAAAUGGAGAGAUCCCCCAAGUCCCGGCCACACUGGGCAACACCUCUUCCCCCUGACUCCUUCCCGGAGAACGGGAAUCAAGCUCCCUCAAGCUCGCCAGCAAGCGGACAUGUACAUUUCAAGCUUAGCAGGACCUUGGACGUCAUCUAGAUCCCGGUGAACGCUCAGAACGAGUAAGCGACCUCAAGCCCCAAAUCACAGUAUUCGUAGGCAAACGUGGUCCUACUCCCAAAUCCAGCAAUCUUUCACCACGUCUAGGACAGUGACGUCUAUGAAGAAGUGACAAAUAGAUGACAGGACUGGGAUGUACAACGCCAGGGAUCCCAGCUUGGAAUGCUGACGAAAACUGUAUGAAUGAGAGCAUGACGUGACUAGACCCUUAAGUGGGGAAUCAACAUUCGCGCAGUGAUACGGAAAUCUGUCUUCUAAGGAUCUAAGCGCUCUCUCGUUCGCAAUCAACCUGGAACAGUGGCUUCCCCAGUCAGUCUGUACAGACAGCCCUCUCUUCCCUCCAAAAGUGAGAAUCUUGCAUGGCAAUACACAGUUUUAUCCUACUUUUCAUGGGUCUUGUCAUUUGAUCCUGCCAAAAAAAAACCUGG